UCCGAGUUGACCCCGGCAGUCUCCUAUGAGUCCCCGGCUUGAACCGCUGGCAACAUAGGACAAGGGUUGCGCUCGUUGCGGGACUUAACCCAACAUCUCACGACACGAGCUGACGACAGCCAUGCAACACCUGUGGAGCACCCUCGAAGGAGCCGGGUUUCCCCGGUCUGCAGCUCCAUGUCAAGUCUGGGUAAGGUUCUGCGCGUUGCGUCGAAUUAAACCACAUGCUCCACCGCUUGUGCGGGCCCCCGUCAAUUCCUUUGAGUUUCAGCCUUGCGGCCGUACUCCCCAGGCGGGGCACUUAAUGCGUUAGCGCCGGCACCCAGGGGGUCGCUCCCCCAGGCACCUAGUGCCCAUCGUUUACGGCGUGGACUAC
rnacentral:misc_RNA from 1 species